GUGCCAGCCGCCGCGGUUAAGACGUAGGAGGCGAGCGUUAUCCGGAUUCACUGGGCGUAAAGCGCAUGUAGGCGGAUGUCUAAGUCGUGUGUUAAAGCCCCUGGCUCAACUGGGGGAGGUCAUGCGAGACUGGAUGACUUGAGGGCAACAGAGGCACGUGGAACUCCCGGUGUAGCGGUGGAAUGCGUAGAGAUCGGGAAGAACACCCGUGGCGAAGGCGGCGUGUUGGGUUGCAACUGACGCUGAGAUGCGAAAGUGUGGGGAGCGAACGGGAUUAGAUACCCCGGUAGUCCUAGCCCUAAACGAUGGGUACUAGGUAGUGGACUUAACAUGGGUUCACUGCCGAAGCAAAAGUGUUAAGUACCCCGCCUGGGGAGUAUGGUCGCAAGGCUGAAACUCAAAGGAAUUGACGGGGGCUCACACAAGCGGUGGAGCAUGUGGCUUAAUUCGAGGCUACGCGAAGAACCUUAUCCUGGGCUUGACAUGUUCGAAAGAGGUAGGAAGUAGCGAGCGGAAACGUUUCGCCAACGGUAUCCAAUCCGGAACCUACUACAGGUGCUGCAUGGCUGUCGUCAGCUCGUGUCGUGAGAUGUUGGGUUGUGUCCCGUAACGAGCGAAACCCUUGUCCUUAGUUGCCAUCAUUUAGUUGGGCACUCUAGGGAGACUGCCGGUGUUAAACCGGAGGAAGGUGGGGAUGAUGUCAAGUCAGCAUGGCCUUUAUAUCUGGGGCGACACACACGCUACAAUGGGCAGUACAAUGGGCAGCGAAAGGGCGACCUGGAGCGAAUCUCAUCAAAGCUGUUCGUAGUUCGGAUUGUAGGCUGCAACCCGCCUACAUGAAGCCGGAGUUGCUAGUAACCGCAGGUCAGCCAUACUGCGGUGAAUGCGUUCCCGGGCCUUGCACUCACCGCCCGUC
rnacentral:rRNA from 1 species